rnacentral:lncRNA from 1 species
AUCUCUCUCUCUCUCUCUCUCACACACACACACAACAAUCACCUAAUUCAUCUUCUACGACCAUCCCUCCCAAAAAUCAUUCAACAUUUUCUUUUGGUUUUUCCCAUUUUUACGCCUACUACAAAAUCAUUCUACAUCCUAGGGUUCGAAUUACCCUCUUCUUCAUGUUCUAUUGCUCAGGGACGACAUCCUCCUCUACCAAUUUUUCUCUGGUUCUAAAGAUGGUGUUCUUGAGAAGAACAUAUAAGUGAAUGAAGAGAUUGUUAAUAAAAAGUCGGAUUUCAUUUCCACUGCCACUAGUACAAAAUACAUCACGUUUUGUUGUUCUGGAAUGAUUCAGAAGACCCCUUUGCAUUUUAUAACCGAAGCUCGAGUACUCUCGAUUGUUUUUCAAGUAUAGUCAUCUUCUUGGAGAUGCUUUCAUGGCUUCCUUUCGGAAACCCUAAUUCGUUAGUUAAUUUAAUGUUUGAAUCGGUCAAUUGAGCUACCUUCCCUUCGGUUGUUUUAGCCCUACCUUCUGUUGUGUAAAAUUUAUCUUUUAAUGACUUUAUAAUGCUUUCUAUUUCUCUUACAUGUUUUUGAAUCGAUUCUUUUUGUUGAAUUUGCAUUCUUCAGGUUAGAUUUUGAUUCGUUGAAUUGUUCUUCUAAAGAUUCAGAUUUUUCUCUCAAACUUAAAAUUUCAAGAUUAUCUGCAACAAGCUGGGUGAUUUUUCUAUCGAGUUUCUUGAUUAAAGCGUUCUAUGUUCAAUAAUUUGAUACAGUUUUCAAGUUUUAACUUAAAUCUAUCUUCUCUGUGAUUGAACCUAUUAAGAUUAAAUUGAAUGAGCUGAUGUUGAGCACAACAUAAGCAUUAUCGGCUUCCAAAAUCAACCCCAAACGACUUCUGCUGCUUUUCCCAUGAUAAACACGACUUGUUCUGUCAAUCCUAAUUUUAGCUUCACAUCUUCUUCGUUUUGUUUUGAUUUCGUUAAUUCCUUCUCAAGAUCAAACAGUGUGUAUCUAGUUUAAAUUGCAGAGAGAGAGAGAGAGAGAGAGAGAGAGAGAGAAUGGUGAAGGGUGGGUGGGGGAUAAUUUAUUCAUUUUCUUUUUAUUUUUAAUAUAAAACAGUAUUAGAAUAAAUAUAAAAAAUACAAAAAGGGAUAUAAAAGGGCAUAAUCGUCUUUUCAAAUUUUUUUGAACCAAAAUCAAAGAAAUUUUUUGAUUUUGGACCUUUCAUGCAAGUUGAGAACUUUUUGGACCCUAUCCAUAGUUUUUCGCAAACCACAGGGACAAAUUUUGUAGUUUUGUCAAAAUUAUAUUAGAAAGGUAGCAAGCACGAGUGAAAAACUAUUACAAAAAAGCGUACAAAAUAGGGUUCAUCAACCACAUAGCCUAAACUACAUUGCAUUUCUUAUUCCUAUUCUGAUCCAAUCAAACGAUUUAACAAAGUACAAUUUUCCUAAAAAAAGUACUUUUAGGGAGCAUGUUAAUCGCAAAAACCACCCCAGUUCAAUAUGUCCAUAACACCCACAUAGUAGUCAUGAUGAUCACCUCUAACAUUUUGCUCAUUCCGGACUCCACAGAGACAUUAUCCACCCAAUAAAACAAAUCAUGAAUCGUGUGAAUUAAAGGGAAUGGAUGAUUAAUCCAUUUAAAAACCUUAACUUUAACAAUCUCACAUGUUAAGAAUAAGUGGUUACCAUCUUCAGCUUCUUUAUCACAAACAGGAAAAAGGAAAAAGGGAAUGUCAAUCCCUCUAAUCUACAAGUUAACUCUAGUAGGAAUCAUGCCGAGCAACACCCUCCAAAUAAGCACAUUAACUUCGAUAUGCGCAAACCUAUUCCAGUGAGUCUGAUUCCCACUUUCAC